rnacentral:rRNA from 1 species
UUGAACGCUGGCGGCAGGCCUAACACAUGCAAGUCGAGCGGUAGCACAGAGAGCUUGCUCUCGGGUGACGAGCGGCGGACGGGUGAGUAAUGUCUGGGAAACUGCCUGAUGGAGGGGGAUAACUACUGGAAACGGUAGCUAAUACCGCAUAACGUCGCAAGACCAAAGUGGGGGACCUUCGGGCCUCAUGCCAUCAGAUGUGCCCAGAUGGGAUUAGCUAGUAGGUGGGGUAACGGCUCACCUAGGCGACGAUCCCUAGCUGGUCUGAGAGGAUGACCAGCCACACUGGAACUGAGACACGGUCCAGACUCCUACGGGAGGCAGCAGUGGGGAAUAUUGCACAAUGGGCGCAAGCCUGAUGCAGCCAUGCCGCGUGUGUGAAGAAGGCCUUCGGGUUGUAAAGCACUUUCAGCGGGGAGGAAGGCGGUGAGGUUAAUAACCUCAUCGAUUGACGUUACCCGCAGAAGAAGCACCGGCUAACUCCGUGCCAGCAGCCGCGGUAAUACGGAGGGUGCAAGCGUUAAUCGGAAUUACUGGGCGUAAAGCGCACGCAGGCGGUCUGUCAAGUCGGAUGUGAAAUCCCCGGGCUUAACCUGGGAACUGCAUUCGAAACUGGCAGGCUAGAGUCUUGUAGAGGGGGGUAGAAUUCCAGGUGUAGCGGUGAAAUGCGUAGAGAUCUGGAGGAAUACCGGUGGCGAAGGCGGCCCCCUGGACAAUGACUGACGCUCAGGUGCGAAAGCGUGGGGAGCAAACAGGAUUAGAUACCCUGGUAGUCCACGCCGUAAACGAUGUCGAUUUGGAGGUUGUGCCCUUGAGGCGUGGCUUCCGGAGCUAACGCGUUAAAUCGACCGCCUGGGGAGUACGGCCGCAAGGUUAAAACUCAAAUGAAUUGACGGGGGCCCGCACAAGCGGUGGAGCAUGUGGUUUAAUUCGAUGCAACGCGAAGAACCUUACCUGGUCUUGACAUCCACAGAACUUAGCAGAGAUGCUUUGGUGCCUUCGGGAACUGUGAGACAGGUGCUGCAUGGCUGUCGUCAGCUCGUGUUGUGAAAUGUUGGGUUAAGUCCCGCAACGAGCGCAACCCUUAUCCUUUGUUGCCAGCGGUCCGGCCGGGAACUCAAAGGAGACUGCCAGUGAUAAACUGGAGGAAGGUGGGGAUGACGUCAAGUCAUCAUGGCCCUUACGACCAGGGCUACACACGUGCUACAAUGGCAUAUACAAAGAGAAGCGACCUCGCGAGAGCAAGCGGACCUCAUAAAGUAUGUCGUAGUCCGGAUUGGAGUCUGCAACUCGACUCCAUGAAGUCGGAAUCGCUAGUAAUCGUAGAUCAGAAUGCUACGGUGAAUACGUUCCCGGGCCUUGUACACACCGCCCGUCACACCAUGGGAGUGGGUUGCAAAAGAAGUAGGUAGCUUAACCUUCGGGAGGGCGCUUACCACUUUGUGAUUCAUGACUGGGGUG